rnacentral:rRNA from 1 species
GACGAACGCUGGCGGUGUGCUUAACACAUGCAAGUCGAACGGUAAGGCCGUGCUUUUGUGGGGUACUCGAAUCGCGACCUGGCGAGUAAUAGGUGAGUACGCUGCCCUUGUCUUUGGGGUAACUUAAGGAAACUGGGGCUAAUACCGGAUAGGAGCUACUGCUGCGUGGUGGGGGGUGGAAAGUUUCGGCGGUUGUGGAUGGACUCGCGGCUUAACAGCUUGUUGGUGGGGUAGUGGCUUACCAAGGCUUUGGCGGGUGCCCGGCCUGAGUGGGUGACCGGCCAAAUUGGGACUGGGGUACGGCCCAGACCCCUACGGGAGGCAACAGUGGGGAAUAUUGCACAAUGGGCGGAAGCCUGAUGCAGCAACGCCGCGGUCGGGAUAACGGCCUUCGGGUGGUAAACCGCUUUCGCCUGUGACGAAGCGUUAAUGACGAUAAUGGAUAAAGAAGCACCGGCUAACUACGUG